CCUACGGGUGGCAGCAGUGAGGAAUAUUGGUCAAUGGGCGCGAGCCUGAACCAGCCAAGUCGCGUGCGGGAAGACGGCCCUACGGGUUGUAAACCUCUUUUGCCGGGGAGCAACGGGCGCCACGUGUGGCGCCACUGAGAGUACCCGGAGAAAAAGCAUCGGCUAACUCCGUGCCAGCAGCCGCGGUAAUACGGAGGAUGCGAGCGUUACCCGGAUUUAUUGGGUUUAAGGGGUGCGUGGGCGGCGCGUUAAGUCAGUGGUCAAAUCGAGGGGCUCAACCCCUUCCCGCCAUUGAAACUGGCGCUCUAGAGUGGAAGUGAGGUAUGCGGAAUGCGUGGUGUAGCGGUGAAAUGCAUAGAGAUCACGCAGAACCCCGAUUGCGAAGGCAGCAUGCCGGCUUCCUACUGACGCUGAAGCACGAAAGCGUGGGGAGCGAACAGGAUUAGAUACCCGAGUAGUC
rnacentral:rRNA from 1 species